UGGGGAAUAUUGCACAAUGGGCGCAAGCCUGAUGCAGCCAUGCCGCGUGUGUGAAGAAGGCCUUCGGGUUGUAAAGCACUUUCAGCGAGGAGGAAGGUGGUGAGCUUAAUACGCUCAUCAAUUGACGUUACUCGCAGAAGAAGCACCGGCUAACUCCGUGCCAGCAGCCGCGGUAAUACGGAGGGUGCAAGCGUUAAUCGGAAUUACUGGGCGUAAAAGCGCACGCAGGCGGUUUGUUAAGUCAGAUGUGAAAAUCCCCGGGCUCAACCUGGGAACUGCAUUUGAAACUGGCAAGCUAGAAGUCUCGUAGAGGGGGGUAGAAUUCCAGGUGGUAGCGGUGCAAAUGCGUAGAGAUCUGGAAGGAAUACCGGUGGCGAAGGCGGCCCCCUGGACGAAGACUGACCGCUCAGGUGCGAAAAGCGUGGGGAGCAAAAACAGGAUUAGGAUAACCCUGGUAGUCCACGCUGUAAAACGAUGUCGAUUUUGGAGGUUGUGCCCUUGAGGCGUGGCUUCCGGAGCUAACGCGUUAAAAUCGACCGCCUGGGGAGUACGGCCGCAAGGUUAAAAACUC
rnacentral:rRNA from 1 species